rnacentral:lncRNA from 1 species
CUAAGCAUAGUUGUAAACAUGGAUUUAACAAUUUUCACCAAGCAAGUGUUUCACUCAAUAUCUCAAGUGUUUAGGAGGUCACUCUACUCUCUACUAUUCACAUGUCACAUAAAACAAUAUUGUCAUUCAUCUAAAACAAUCAAAAUCUACACAUGCAAAUGUCAUCACAAGGACUUUUUCCAAGGCUAGUAAUGUGGCUGGGCUAUCAAGAAAAAUUGGUUUUUCUAGAAUACAAAAUCCUUGAGUUAAGAGAGUUUAAAUCAUCAUUCAAAGUUCAAGCAUACUCUCUUUUUAACCAAUCUCACUCAUUCCCAAUUUCUUCCCUUUUUCCUUUUACAUUGAGUUCACUUUAUCUACUUUUUCUCUUUUCUUCUUUU